rnacentral:rRNA from 1 species
GCUAGACGGCGGGGUGACGGCCCACCGUGGCGACGAUGCGUAGGGGUUCUGAGAGGAAGGCCCCCCACACUGGGACUGAGACACGGCCCAGACUCCUACGGGAGGCAGCAGUGAGGAAUAUUGGUCAAUGGGCGGAAGCCUGAACCAGCCAAGUCGCGUGAGGGAUUAAGGCCCUGCGGGUCGUAAACCUCUUUUGCCGGGGAGCAGUGGUCCGGACGCGUCCGGGCCGGGAGAGUACCCGGAGAAAAAGCAUCGGCUAACUCCGUGCCAGCAGCCGCGGUAAUACGGAGGAUGCGAGCGUUAUCCGGAUUUAUUGGGUUUAAAGGGUGCGUAGGCGGGCAUUUAAGCCGGCGGUCAAAUGUCGGGGCUCAACCCCGGCCUGCCGUCGGAACUGGGUGCCUUGAGUGGGCGAGAAGUAUGCGGAAUGCGUGGUGUAGCGGUGAAAUGCAUAGAUAUCACGCAGAACCCCGAUUGCGAAGGCAGCAUACCGGCGCCCUACUGACGCUGAGGCACGAAAGUGCGGGUAUCGAACAGGAUUAGAUACCCUGGUAGUCCGCACAGUAAACGAUGGAUGCUAUCUGUCCGGGCCGAAUGAGGCCUGG